rnacentral:rRNA from 1 species
AGAGUUUGAUCCUGGCUCAGAUUGAACGCUGGCGGCAUGCUUUACACAUGCAAGUCGAACGGCAGCGCGGGGGCAACCCUGGCGGCGAGUGGCGAACGGGUGAGUAAUGCAUCGGAACGUAUCCUGUAAUGGGGGAUAACGUAGCGAAAGUUACGCUAAUACCGCGUACGCUCGAGAGAGGAAAGUGGGGGAUCGCAAGACCUCACGUUAUAGGAGCGGCCGAUGUCCGAUUAGCUAGUUGGUGGGGUAAAGGCCUACCAAGGCGACGAUCGGUAGCUGGUCUGAGAGGAUGAUCAGCCACACUGGGACUGAGACACGGCCCAGACUCCUACGGGAGGCAGCAGUGGGGAAUUUUGGACAAUGGGCGAAAGCCUGAUCCAGCCAUGCCGCGUGCGGGAAGAAGGCCUUCGGGUUGUAAACCGCUUUAGUCCGGGAAAAAGGGGUGCGAGGAUAAUACCCUCGUGCUUUGAUGGUACUGGAAGAAUAAGCACCGGCUAACUACGUG